AUGAACCACGAUGGGACUCCCCUUGUUGCAGAUCCGAAGGAUAAAGGCGAGGCUUCUUCAGAAAUCAAGUCCUUUACUUCUGAGGAUCUGGAACGGGCCCUUCCUAAGAAAAAAGAGGAGCAUGAUGCUUCUCUUGAGGCCUUGGUCCAAAUGAGAAUAGCCACGUUGUCCACGGUGCUUGCACCACUUUCGGGUGGUGCGGCUUCGAGGCCAACUGUGCCUACUCCGUCACUUGGUCAACAACCUCCUAGCAAUGAUCACAAUGUUCCUUGGCUUUAUGCAAGACCCCAAGUUGAGAAACCGAAAUAUAACCCUCAAGGCAAACCUCCUUUACUUGAUGCCACUUCCGAUUUUGCCUUGUAG
rnacentral:rRNA from 1 species